rnacentral:lncRNA from 1 species
UUUUUGAAGAAAAACCUGUCUUUGUGAAUUGGGAAGUGGGAAUGUGGCUUUUCUUUACCUUUUAUUCCUUUUUCUUUCUUCCUCCUCUGCUCUCUCUCUCUCUCUCUCUCUCUCUCUCUCCUUUUUCUUUUCUGGUUAAUUAAACUCUAAGUUAAACCAGGUUAGACACUGGGAGGGACUGCCUCCAGUUAUGCUUUCUAAACUAAAAUAAAUGAUUGCUUCAGUGCAUGGCUCCGAAGAACAAGAGUUGAACUUCCUUACACCUUCAGGAUGUGUUUCUAAGAAACAGUAGGAAACCCUGAGUGACAGACAGACUGACAGUCGCCCCACUGAUUUCCGAGUCUCGAAUGCUCUCAUUAUGAGGCUUACGGUCACUAGAAGUGUUGGGAUUUUUUUUCUUUUUUAACUUAAUACUUCUAAUUGAAUGCCUGGGGGUUGUGGGGAGGGGAGGACACUGUUCCCUGGGAUCCGCAUGCAACAGCUUAGAAAUAAAGACUUAAAUUCUCUUAAUUGAUCAACAAUUGAUAUUUGAUUGCUGUAGUCCCACCACAUUUUACAAAUCUCUAAUGUCCACCUACCCAGGCUGAUCUGUCCUGGAUGACUUUUUAAGUAAGUUUUGUUCUCCUGUGACCUGGGGUCAAAUGGUUACAAGAGGUAACCUCCGAACUCGGGGACAGCCAUUCCCUCAGAGCCAUGAGAGCUCUGCCCCUAAAGAGCUUAGCAGCAACCCACUGCUGCCCAUCAUUUCCAAGUGUGCAGGGUCAGUGGGCACCCAGGACAAACCCAGUCCCAAGGGACCGUCUCUAAGGAGGGCAAAUGCUGUCACCACCACCUCCAUCCCCAAGUCUACGACCAUCCAAUGGAGGGGUUUAGAACUGGGCUUGAGGAUCUACUGAUGUGUGUGUGGCCUCUUGUUUGGGAAGCCAAGCACUGUGCUUUAUCUAGUUUCCUUUAUGUGUGUAACCAUCUGCUAGCCAGGCUUUUAAACCGGUCUUAAAGUAUGCACAAGUGUACACACUCGGGAAGCUUAGUACCGCUCCAUUUAAUUUCUCUCCUACUGACUCUUUAACAUUAUUGUUAAAAAAAAUAAUAAUAAUAAAGUGUGCAAAGAAAGAAAAAUUGACUAAAAAGUUUCCAAUAUUCAUACUUUAAAAACUGUCCACCAGUUACCCCACAGCGAAGACAUUAAAGUGAUGCAAAGAAAUCGUU